GAUGAACGCUGGCGGCGUGCCUAAUACAUGCAAGUCGAGCGAACAGACGAGGAGCUUGCUCCUCUGACGUUAGCGGCGGACGGGUGAGUAACACGUGGAUAACCUACCUAUAAGACUGGGAUAACUUCGGGAAACCGGAGCUAAUACCGGAUAAUAUAUUGAACCGCAUGGUUCAAUAGUGAAAGACGGUUUUGCUGUCACUUAUAGAUGGAUCCGCGCCGCAUUAGCUAGUUGGUAAGGUAACGGCUUACCAAGGCAACGAUGCGUAGCCGACCUGAGAGGGGGAUCGGCCACACUGGAACUGAGACACGGUCCAGACUCCUACGGGAGGCAGCAGUAGGGAAUAUUCCGCAAAGGGCGAAAGCAUGACGGAGCAACGCCGCGUGAGUGAUGAAGGUCUUCGGAUCGUAAAACUCUGUUAUUAGGGAAGAACAAAUGUGUAAGUAACUAUGCACGUCUUGACGGUACCUAAUCAGAAAGCCACGGCUAACUACGUG
rnacentral:rRNA from 1 species